CUCGUAAGAGCAAAGCAGGGGGACCUUCGGGCCUUGCGCUACCGGAUAUGCCCAGGUGGGAUUAGCUAGUUGGUGAGGUAAGGGCUCACCAAGGCGACGAUCCCUAGCUGGUCUGAGAGGAUGAUCAGCCACACUGGAACUGAGACACGGUCCAGACUCCUACGGGAGGCAGCAGUGGGGAAUAUUGCACAGUGGGCGCAAGCCUGAUGCAGCCAUGCCGCGUGUAUGAAGAAGGCCUUCGG
rnacentral:rRNA from 1 species